AUUGAACGCUGGCGGCAGGCCUAACACAUGCAAGUCGAACGGUAACAGGAAGAAGCUUGCUUCUUUGCUGACGAGUGGCGGACGGGUGAGUAAUGUCUGGGAAACUGCCUGAUGGAGGGGGAUAACUACUGGAAACGGUAGCUAAUACCGCAUAACGUCGCAAGACCAAAAAGGGGGACCUUCGGGCCUCUUGCCAUCGGAUGUGCCCAGAUGGGAUUAGCUAGUAGGUGGGGUAACGGCUCACCUAGGCGACGAUCCCUAGCUGGUCUGAGAGGAUGACCAGCCACACAGGAACUGAGACACGGUCCAGACUCCUACGGGAGGCAGCAGUGGGGAAUAUUGCACAAUGGGCGCAAGCCUGAUGCAGCCAUGCCGCGUGUAUGAAGAAGGCCUUCGGGUUGUAAAGUACUUUCAGCGGGGAGGAAGGGAGUAAAGUUAAUACCUUUGCUCAUUGACGUUACCCGCAGAAGAAGCACCGGCUAACUCCGUG
rnacentral:rRNA from 1 species